UCCCAGAGGGUGAGAGCAAAUCCUGGGC
rnacentral:piRNA from 1 species